GACGAACGCUGGCGGCGUGCUUAACACAUGCAAGUCGAACGGAAAGGCCCUGCUUUUGUGGGGUGCUCGAGUGGCGAACGGGUGAGUAACACGUGAGUAACCUGCCCUAGACUUUGGGAUAACUUCAGGAAACUGGGGCUAAUACCGGAUAGGAGCCCCUGCUGCAUGGUGGGGGUUGGAAAGUUUCGGCGGUUGGGGAUGGACUCGCGGCUUAUCAGCUUGUUGGUGGGGUAGUGGCUUACCAAGCAUUUGACGGGUAGCCGGCCUGAGAGGGUGACCGGCCACAUUGGGACUGAGAGACGGACCAGACUCCUACGGGAGGCAGCAGUGGGGAAUAUGGCACAAUGGGCGGAAGCCUGAUGCAGCAACGCCGCGGGCGGGAUGACGGCCUUCGGGUUGUAAACCGCUUUCGCCUGUGACGAAGCGUGAGUGACGGUAAUGGGUAAAGAAGCACCGGCUAACUACGUG
rnacentral:rRNA from 1 species